rnacentral:rRNA from 2 species
UGGGGGAUAUUGCACAAUGGGGGAAACCCUGAUGCAGCGACGCCGCGUGGAGGAAGAAGGUUUUCGGAUUGUAAACUCCUGUCGUUAGGGACGAUAAUGACGGUACCUAACAAGAAAGCACCGGCUAACUACGUGCCAGCAGCCGCGGUAAAACGUAGGGUGCAAGCGUUGUCCGGAAUUACUGGGUGUAAAGGGAGCGCAGGCGGACCGGCAAGUUGGAAGUGAAAACUAUGGGCUCAACCCAUAAAUUGCUUUCAAAACUGCUGGCCUUGAGUAGUGCAGAGGUAGGUGGAAUUCCCGGUGUAGCGGUGGAAUGCGUAGAUAUCGGGAGGAACACCAGUGGCGAAGGCGACCUACUGGGCACCAACUGACGCUGAGGCUCGAAAGCAUGGGUAGCAAACAGGAUUAGAUACCCUGGUAGUCCAUGCCGUAAACGAUGAUUACUAGGUGUUGGAGGAUUGACCCCUUCAGUGCCGCAGUUAACACAAUAAGUAAUCCACCUGGGGAGUACGACCGCAAGGUUGAAACUCAAAGGAAUUGACGGGGGCCCGCACAAGCAGUGGAGUAUGUGGUUUAAUUCGAAGCAACGCGAAGAACCUUACCAGGUCUUGACAUCCGAUGCAUAGUGCAGAGAUGCAUGAAGUCCUUCGGGACAUCGAGACAGGUGGUGCAUGGUUGUCGUCAGCUCGUGUCGUGAGAUGUUGGGUUAAGUCCCGCAACGAGCGCAACCCUUAUUGCCAGUUACUACGAAAGAGGACUCUGGCGAGACUGCCGUUGACAAAACGGAGGAAGGUGGGGAUGACGUCAAAUCAUCAUGCCCUUUAUGACCUGGGCUACACACGUACUACAAUGGCGUUUAACAAAGAGAAGCAAGACCGCGAGGUGGAGCAAAACUCAAAAACAACGUCUCAGUUCAGAUUGCAGGCUGCAACUCGCCUGCAUGAAGUCGGAAUUGCUAGUAAUCGCGGAUCAGCAUGCCGCGGUGAAUACGUUCCC